ensembl:lncRNA
AGAGGAGCUAUCCCACGCUGAAGGUCAGGAAGGGCGGUGGUGAGGAGAUACCCCUCAUCCAAGGUAAGGAGCAGCAGCUGCGCUUUGCUGGAGCAGCCGUGAAGAGAUACCCAACGCCCAAGAUGACUGGCAAAUGCAAUGCUUUUUCAGGCAUGGAAGAAAACCAAGUCCUACGUCCGACCCCAGUACAGCCUGAGAGAGGAAAUCUGUUCAAGGUCUGAGGAGCCACACUGGCCUCACUGCGAGAUGAGUCUAAUUGCUGGGUCUACAGUGAGAUGCUGUUGUCCUCAUCCUCAGGACUUCGAUGAAAAACUGACCCGGCUAUUGUGACUCUGUGUGGACUACUCCCCGUGGGGGAGAAAGACUCUCACCAUCUUCCUGUCCUGCAUGCCAGUGCACCAGAAAGACCUCUGCUAGUAAACAUUACCGUACAACUGACUGCCCAUGACCCUCCCUGGGCUGUGUUGAAUGGAAUAGGCUGUCUUCAGGACACACAAGUCCAACUAGUGGGAUUAAAUGUUUUUUGUUUGGAAAGACCUAAUGGGUCCACCGCUAAUGGUACUCAAUAUAACACACAGUGACAGAUCUGUAUUGUGACAGCAGACUCUUGGCUAGGUCACCAGAAUGUUUCUUUUAAGGAUGAGCCUUCCCCUCCACUUGAGUGAGGUUCUGGGUUUGUGAAAACCAGGGGUGGCCUGUCUGUAUUGUAUUUGUGGUAUCCGGUUGCCUUGCCCCUCUACAUACCUGACUCCAGGGGUGUCGUGGAAGAGGGGCAGACCACAAUUGUAAAGGUUGUGCAGGAUAUGUAGGGGUGGAGUGUAUGGCCAGGCCACUCAAGAUGGCUGCUCUUUCAUUCUCUGUACCUCCCUGCCUGACCAGUGCCUGCUUUACCUACACCUACUCACAGGACUACACCUGACCUGUCUCCUGAGAAAUCUGUAUCCAGAUCAAGAACCAACAGUUAGAACUGGACAUGGAAAAACAGACUGGUUCCAAAUUGGGAAAGGAGUACAUCAAGGCUGUAUAUUGUCACCCUGCUUAUUUAACUUAUAUGCAGAGUACAUCAUGUGAAAUGCUGGGCUGGAUAAAGCACAAGCUGGAGUCAAGAUUGCCAGGAGAAAUAUAAAUAACCUCAGAUAUGC